GUCCACACCGUAAACGAUGAUUACUAGGUGUUGGAGGAUUGACCCCUUCAGUGCCGCAGUUAACACAAUAAGUAAUCCACCUGGGGAGUACGACCGCAAGGUUGAAACUCAAAGGAAUUGACGGGGGCCCGCACAAGCAGUGGAGUAUGUGGUUUAAUUCGACGCAACGCGAAGAACCUUACCAAGUCUUGACAUCCCUUGACGAUGCUGGAAACAGCAUUUCUCUUCGGAGCAAGGAGACAGGUGGUGCAUGGUUGUCGU
rnacentral:rRNA from 1 species